rnacentral:lncRNA from 1 species
UCUCCUCUACCCUCGCCUUCUUCGUCGACUCAGAUGUUGCAGUGCCUUUCCUCUUGUGGGCCUUGAGACUCUUGGCUAACAUCCAAGCCGUGUCCGCAUCCAUAUCUACAACGAAUGAAGCUCGGCAUAGUUUAGAAACAGAGCCACAAAAAAAGGAGAGUUCUAGAGCUAACCUAGGCUGGUCUGAAGAAUGCAGAGAUACAGAGAUG